AUGACACCAGCGCUGGCUUUGCUCAUCCUUCUGGCAGCUCCACCGGGUGUCCUGGCCCAGGUCACACUGAAGGAGUCUAGCCCAGGGGUUGUGAAGCCCAGAGAGACCCUCAGCCUGACCUGCACCGUGUCUGGAUUCUCUCUCACUAGCAGUGCUGUGAGCUGGGUUCGGCAGGCAGCAGGGAAAAGGCUCGAGUGGGUCGGAAGUAUCGGGAGUGGUGGAAGCGCCUGCUAUAACAGCGCUCUCCAAAGCCGCCUCACCAUCAGCAGAGACACGUCCAGCAGCCAAGUGCACCUGCGCCUGACCAGUGUCCAACCUGUAGACACAGCCUGGUAUUACUGUGUCCUGGCCCAGAUCACGCUGAAGGAGUCUGGCCGAGGGGUCAUGAAGCCCGGAGAGACCCUCAGCCUGACCUGCACCGUGUCUGGAUUCUCUCUCACUAGCAGUGAUGUGAGCUGGGUUCGGCAGGAAGCAGGGAAAGGGCUGGAGUGGGUUGGAAUACUCUGGAGAGGUGGAAGCACUGAGUAUAACAGCGCUCUCCAAAGCCGCCUCACCAUCAGCAGAGACACGUAUAACAGCCAAGUGCACCUGUGCCUGACCGGGGUCCAACCUGUAGACACGGCCCAGUAUUACUGUGUCAGAUACACAGUGAAUGAAAAUGCAUGA